GAGAAAUCAGGAGAGAAAGAGAAAUGGAGUCUUUCCUAUACGUUGAGUGGUGCCAGAUCUCAGUAGUGCUGUGGAAACAGAACAGAAGCCCCAACUUCAGCCAGGAGGCACGGUCCACUCCGAUGGGAAUAGCAGCUGCACAAAUAGGAGGGAAAAACCUCACAAGGAUUGUUUCCAACACCUUUCUAAUGGAAAUAAUGAUUUGCAAAGCCCGACUUAUACCUUUGCCACAUAAUUAGUCGUCAAAAAGGGCUUGAGAUGAAAAACAUCACUUCGGCUCCCAAAUCUGCGAAAUCCACAAAGACCUUAAUGUUUCACCCUGUCUUCUGAAUGUAAAGGUCACCAGAAGGUAAUGAAAUUCACAGCUUGUGACACCUAAAAUGUAAUACAUUUAAACACAUGUUCUUCAGCUUUUCAUCUAAGAAGCAAGCUUUAAUAGACUUCUUUUGUAUGGUGUACUUUCU